rnacentral:lncRNA from 1 species
UAUUAAUAGAGAUAGCGCCAUUCAUGGGUUCAGCUCUUAUCAUAUGUUGAAACAAACAUAUAUAGUUCAUUCAACUCCAAGAGAUAUUAGAGGAUAACUAAAUAAUAUAUAUAGGAUGGUUUAUAUUUCAUAUCUAUGUGGCAUCCACGGGCUUGAUGAAAAGUCACAAGGAGACGGAUGACUUUACACGCAACGCAAACAAGCUUGGAGGCGGCAACGAUUAUAGAAAUAUAGUUGUCUGUGGGUAAAACAUACAUAGUCGAGACGUAUAUAUUAUCCAAUAUAGCGGCAAUAAGGCUAUCGGUAGUGGCAGCAACG